ensembl:snoRNA SNORA72 Small nucleolar RNA SNORA72
CUGCGAAUCAUUCUCGCCUGUUCGACCUAUCAGUGGUCAGAUCAGGGCUAGUACUUCGCUAGAUGGACACCAACAUGAGAACUGGCAGAUGUGACAUCAUUUCACUUCUGUUCUCACCCUGCACCCGUUGGUUACAUUU